GAUGAAGAACGUAGCGAAAUGCGAUAAGUAAUGUGAAUUGCAGAAUUCAGUGAAUCAUCGAAUCUUUGAACGCACAUUACGCCCUUUGGCAUUCCGAAGGGCACACCUGUCCGAGCGCCGUCGCACAACUGAGGCGCAGCCUUGCGUUGGCGGGCGACUUGUGAGUAGCGAGUCGCCGCCCAAACGAGACGGCGCCGCGCCGCGGCCGACGAAGCACGAAAGCGGAAGUCGACGCGGAGGCGGUUGCCUGUAGGAAGACACAGCUUGGCCUCGGAUCAGGUGGGGAUACCCGCUGAACUUAAGCAUAUCAAUAAGCGGAGGA
rnacentral:misc_RNA from 1 species